rnacentral:rRNA from 1 species
AUCUGAGCGUCUUAUUUUAAUAAGUCAAAACUUUCAACAACGGAUCUCUUGGUUCUGGCAUCGAUGAAGAACGCAGCGAAAUGCGAUAAGUAAUGUGAAUUGCAGAAUUCAGUGAAUCAUCGAAUCUUUGAACGCACAUUGCGCCCAUUAGUAUUCUAGUGGGCAUGCCUGUUCGAGCGUCAUUUCAACCCUUAAGCCUAGCUUAGUGUUGGGAAUCUACUUCUUUAUAGUUGUAGUUCCUGAAAUACAAC